rnacentral:rRNA from 1 species
GACGAACGCUGGCGGCGUGCUUAACACAUGCAAGUCGAACGGAAAGGCCCUGCUUUUGUGGGGUGCUCGAGUGGCGAACGGGUGAGUAACACGUGAGUAACCUGCCCUUGACUUUGGGAUAACUUCAGGAAACUGGGGCUAAUACCGGAUAGGAGCUCCUGCUGCAUGGUGGGGGUUGGAAAGUUUCGGCGGUUGGGGAUGGACUCGCGGCUUAUCAGCUUGUUGGUGGGGUAGUGGCUUACCAAGGCUUUGACGGGUAGCCGGCCUGAGAGGGUGACCGGCCACAUUGGGACGGAGAGACGGCCCAGACGCAGACGGGAGGGAGGAGGGGGGAAUAUUGCACAAUGGGCGGAAGCCUGAUGCAGCAACGCCGCGUGCGGGAUGACGGCCUUCGGGUGGUAAACCGAUUUCGCCUGUGACGAAGCGUGAGUGACGGUAAUGGGUAAAGAAGCACCGGCUAACUACGU